UGGGGAAUUUUGCACAAUGGGGGAAACCCUGAUGCAGCGACGCCGCGUGAUUUAGAAGGCCUUCGGGUUGUAAAAAUCUUUUCUAUGGGAAGAAAAUGACAGUACCAUAGGAAUAAGGACCGGCUAAUUACGUGCCAGCAGCCGCGGUAAUACGUAAGGUCCGAGCGUUGUCCGGAAUCAUUGGGGGUAAAGGGUACGUAGGCGGGUAAGCAAGUUAGAAGUGAAAUCCUAUAGCUCAACUAUAGUAAGCUUUUAAAACUGCUCAUCUUGAGGUAUGGAAGGGAAAGUGGAAUUCCUAGUGUAGCGGUGAAAUGCGCAGAUAUUAGGAGGAAUACCGGUGGCGAAGGCGACUUUCUGGCCAUAACCUGACGCUGAGGUACGAAAGCGUGGGUAGCAAACAGG
rnacentral:rRNA from 1 species